rnacentral:rRNA from 1 species
UCCGGUUUAUCCGGAUUAAAGAUUUAUCGCUUGGGAGGGGCCUGCGUCUGAUUAGCUAGUUGGUGAGGUAAAAGCUCACCAAGGCGACGAUCAGUAGCUGGUUCGAGAGGAUGACCAGCCACACUGGGACUGAGAUACGGCCCAGACUCCUACGGGAGGCAGCAGUGAGGAAUCUUCCACAAUGGGCGCAAGCCUGAUGGAGCAAUACCGCGUGCAGGAAGACGCUUUUCGGAGUGUAAACUGCUUUUGUCGUCGAAGAUUAUGACUGUAGACGAAGAAUAAGGACCGGCUAACUACGUG